rnacentral:rRNA from 1 species
UACGGAGGGAGCUAGCGUUGUUCGGCAUUACUGGGCGUAAAGCGCACGUAGGCGGCUUUGUAAGUUAGAGGUGAAAGCCCGGGGCUCAACUCCGGAACUGCCUUUAAGACUGCAUCGCUUGAAUCCAGGAGAGGUGAGUGGAAUUCCGAGUGUAGAGGUGAAAUUCGUAGAUAUUCGGAAGAACACCAGUGGCGAAGGCGGCUCACUGGACUGGUAUUGACGCUGAGGUGCGAAAGCGUGGGGAGCAAACAGG